CUUUCCUCCUUUCCCUCGGGUCUUGCUACCUAGGUCAGCGAGCGGCCGUCCCAAUGUGGGGAUGCGGAGCCCGUGCCCUGCUGGGUGUGUGGGAGGUGCGGCUGGCAGGGUUCCUGGGAAGGAGACUUUUGGGCAGCAAUGCCGCCGCGGGGAAGAGCAUUGCACCGCAGUGCUGGAACUGCGGUCACGCAAGGGAAGUCGGGUGUGGGGAUGAGUUCUUCUGCUCACACUGCCGCGCUCUGCAGCCUCCUGACCCCACUCGUGACUACUUCAGCCUCAUGAACUGCAACCGCUCCUUCAGGGUGGACGUUACGAAACUUCAGCACAGGUACCAGCAACUGCAGCGGCUUGUCCACCCAGAUUUCUUCAGCCAAAAGUCUCAGACUGAAAAACACUUCUCUGACAAGCACUCCACCCUGGUGAAUGAUGCCUAUAAGACUCUUCAGGCUCCCCUGACCAGAGGACUAUAUCUUGUAAGCUAAAGCUCCAGGGAAUAGAAAUUCCUGAAGGGACAGAUUACAAAGCAGACAGUCAGUUCCUUGUGGAAAUCAUGGAAAUCAAUGAAAGACUCGCAGACGCCCAAAGUGAGGCCGCCAUGGAAGAGAUAGAAGCCACUGUCAGAGCUAAACAGAAAGAAUUUACUGACAAUAUAAACAGCGCUUUUGAACAAGGUGACUUUGAAAAAGCCAAGGAACUCCUGACAAAGAUGAGAUACUUUUCGAACAUAGAAGAAAAGAUCAAGCUAAGCAAGACUCCUCUCUAGUUGCUAACUUAAAGUUUUAGAAAUAAACUUUGUAUUUCUUU